ACACGGUAGACAACAUUAACGACGUGUGUCAGGACAAAUACAUGAACAAGCAGGUAACAAAUAACAGAUAGCCAAAUGGCUUCAGGAACACACGUACCGUGUGCUCCGUGUAGGUAUGAGUACGUUACAAAAGACGCGAAAAGAUGGUGUACGAAUUGCGAAGAAGGAUUAUGUGAAGAUUGCAAACACGCUCACAGAAAGAGCAAAACAUCAAGAAACCAUCAAGUGAUUUUAAUAGAAAAUUAUCGCAAAAUUGAAAAUGUUCUGAUCUCGCAGGUCUGUGGGCAUCAUGGAGAAAACCUGGAGUGGUUCUGUAAAACUCGCGACGAAGUCCUCUGUAUGGUUUGUGUCCCGUCAAAACACAAGGCAUGUUCUGACUUCAUACCAAUUAGUGUUGCCUCAAAAAAUUCAAGACAAUCAACUGCAUUAUCUGACUUGGAAGAAGCAAUUGAGGGAACUCUGCUCAAUGUGAAACAAUGCAUAACGAACCGCGAAACCGCUACAAAUAAAAUCGAAAAACAAGAAUUGGCGAUAGAAACAACGAUACUUGAAACAAGAACAAAAAUAAACAGCCACCUCGAUAAGCUGCAGGAAAAUUUGCUAUUUGAACUAAGAUCAACAUCUCAUACUUGUAAAUCAAAAUAUACGAAAUUCCUUCAGAAGCUAGAAUUCAAAAGAGAAAUGCUUACCAAACUAAGGGAACAAACACAAUACAUGAAACAAUUUUCUUCUGACAUACAAGUGUUUGUAGGAACACGUCAAGUGAAUCAGCGAAUUGUAAGCGAGAUAUGAUCUAUCAAGAGUGAAAUUGGUGCUAGCAAGGAUUAUGAAUUAAAAGUAGCUAUUCAUAGCCUGAUUGAAAAAUUAUCAAAGGAAAUUGAAGAAUUUGGCCAAAUAAAAGUAUCCGAAUGCGCCGUCAAGUUAGAUUUCAAAGACCCUAAAAUCGACCAAGCUCAAAUUGGAAUCAACGUCCCAACAUCAAGAAACAUAUCCGACGUAAAACUUCAGCUAAUUAAAACAUUUCAAAUUAAGAGGGAAGAUGAAAUAGAAAUAAGAGGUUGUGUGAUAUCACCUAAUGGUCAUUUAUUGAUUGCAAAUGACACAGAAGAAAAUCAUUUAGUAGAGUACAAAGAUACAGGUGAACAUAUCCGUGACAUUCCUGUCUCGGGGAGUCCGUUUGAUAUCACAAUGAUAGAUUCUAAUCGUGUUGUUGUGACAUACCCGGACAUGAAAAUCUUAAAAUAAUGAAUAGCAAUACAUUUAACGUUGAAAAGAAAAUCAGCUUACAGAAUAAUUGUUAUGGAAUAUCAACAGAGGCGGGGAAACUUUAUGUAAUAAGUGGAAACUCUACAAUACAAAUCCUGGAUCUAUCAGGUGGGCAACUGGAAACAUUGAAAGUGGAAACUAAUGAUGUUUUUUAUAUCACAACUAGCAGGGACAGGAUAUUUUACACAGAUGUCGACAAGAACAUUGUACAUUGUUGUAAUGUGAAAGGAACCGAGUUAUGGCAGUUCAAAAGUGAUUCCAUUACAUGGCCGUGCGGUGUAACAGGAGACAAUUACAAUAAUGUUUACGUUGUAGGUUGUUACUCCGAUAAUCUAACAAUAAUACAACAGGAUGGAAAAGACAGUAAGACAUUACUGACUGAAAGGGAUGGACUUGGUGGGCCAACUUCUCUGUACUAUGACAAAGAGAAAGGAACCUUAUUAAUAUGUAAUGUUCGAGGAAAAGUAGCUUUGUACAAAGUCAUUUAAACUUUUCAAAUCUUAUAGAUUCCGGCGUUCUUGACAAUUCCGAUCUACAUACCAAAUAUGUCAUUAUGUUACCUUAAUACAAGAUAUUAGUUAUUCAUUUUGUUAUUAUUGAAAAGAUUUUUACAAUUGUUCCUAUUCUUUCUAAGGCAUCAGCCUCACCAAUCAUGCAAAAGAAGAUGAAACCGUGUUUUCCAAUAAAUGUAUACACAAUGAAAUAAUGUUCCCAUUAGUCCUCUUGUCUUUGUUUAUAGGCACAAAUGAACUGAAAAAAAGCUAGGUUAUAGAACAGUUCAGUUAAGUAAGAAUAGAACUCAUUAAUGUCUACACAAUUAUAGCAUUUACGCGACUUUAAAUUUUUACAUUUAAAUUGAAUGUCGUAGAUACUGUCUUUUUAAACGCUUUCUUUUCUCAGACAAUAAUCUUAUUACAGAUUGUAUAAGAUGUUUUGGUUGGUCCCGGUGGAAACAUAAAACAGGAUCAAAAUUAAAAAAAGUUGUCUGUCAAGUCAUUUAAACAAUAAAAAAAAAAAACGCAGAACAUACGGACAGCGGUUCAACAUAAUACGUUAUGUCGAACAAAGGUUUUAUAAAAGUUUAAAUGAUGGAAACACACAGAUCAUAUGAUAUAUUAUAUUUAUAAGAAAAUAAUUUUAGAACUUGAAAAAAAAUACGUCAAAUUAUAAAACCUUGAUUUGAAGUCAACAUUUAUUUGGUUUAUGUCAUGUGAAGACAAAUAUGUUCAUAAGAAAAUACAUAAUCUAAUUUUUGAUUUAGAAUGUGAGAAAAAAACUACACUGACUCCAGACCUCUCUGGUUGUAAUUAGUUGUCAAAUACCUUAAAUACCAAAAAAAAAAAAAUGUUUUUUAUUAGAUGUAAUACAUUAUUAAGUCUAUAAUAGCAAAGAAGACUGGGUUUUGCAAACGUAUCAAAAAAUUGGGUCACUGACACUUGACAUUGUAUAUAUGACUUCAAGUCUUUUAAAGACCAUAAUAAAUGUUUUUUGUUUUUUUUUAUCACUGUAAUCAAUGAAAUCAAUGUUUAUCAUAUGUAUUUAUCAUAAUUUGUAUUAAUUAUUCUGCUCUUCAUGGGCGUCGUAAUUGACAAAUAAAAUUAGUCUUAUUCUA